CGAUCACGUGAGUGUAAGCAAAUCUCAAAAAUAACGUCCCAGUUCGGAUUGUAGUCUGCAACCCGACUACAUGAAGCUGGAAUCGCUAGUAAUCGCGAAUCAGUAUGUCGCGGUGAAUACGUUCCCGGGUCUUGUACACACCGCCCGUCACACCAUGGGAGUUGGCAACGCCCGAAGCCAGUGACCCAACCGAGAGGAGGGAGCUGUCGAAGGCGGGGCCGGUAACUGGGGUGAAGUCGUAACAAGGUAAC
rnacentral:rRNA from 1 species